GCUAUGAUGAAACUCUUGGAUACUGAUCGGCAAUGUGCUGAAAUUUCAAACCAUUCCUCUAAGAAGUUCUGAGCUC